AGCUGGUCCGAGUGCAGUGGUGUUUACAACUAAUCAAUCACAGCCAGUUACAGAUUUCUUUGUCCCUUCUCCAUUCCCACUGCUUCACUUGACUAGACUUAA
rnacentral:Y_RNA from 1 species